rnacentral:rRNA from 1 species
UACGGGGGGGGCAAGCGUUGUUCGGAAUUACUGGGCGUAAAGGGCUCGUAGGUGGCCAACUAAGUCGGACGUGAAAUCCCUCGGCUUAACCGGGGAACUGCGUCCGAUACUGGUUGGCUUGAGUUUGGGAGAGGGAUGCAGAAUUCCAGGUGUAGCGGUGAAAUGCGUAGAUAUCUGGAGGAAUACCGGUGGCGAAGGCGGCAUCCUGGACCGGCAUUGACGCUGAGGAGCGAAAGCCAGGGGAGCAAACGGG